rnacentral:lncRNA from 1 species
UCACCUGCGCAUGUCAGCGGAAGUAAAAACCUGGUGAAGCAGCACGCGACUCUCACUCCGCUCCUGAAUUUUUCAGUAUUUAGAUUACCUGCAGCAGCAUUGUUGAAGAUUUGUCGGAGCACCUCAGACAGGAGUGUAACGUAAAAACCAAGCAGUUUGAAGAAACAAUAAUUGGAGGAUACCUUACUGUUGCAGACCACCUGCUGAAGACCAUUUCAUACAGAGGAUCCAUUGGUGAAGAAGUGAUGUAAUGCUACAUUUCUCCUACACAUCUGUUCUGAUGAUGAAAUAACUCAUCUACAUCUAGGAUGGCCUGAGGGUGAGUAAAUUUCCAGCAAAUUUAAAUUUUUGCGUGAGGUAUUCC